UGCCAGUCAUAUGCUUGUCUCAAAGAUUAAGCCAUGCAUGUCUGAGUACAGACCGAUCUAAGGUGAAACCGCGAAUGGCUCAUUAAAUCAGUCCUAAUUCCUUGGAUAGUGAAAAACUUUCCUCGGAUAACUGUGGAAAAUCCAGAGCUAAUACGUGCAACUGAGCUCCGACCUCGGCGUUAGUCGUGGGAAGAGCGCAUUUAUUAGAUUCAAAACUGACCGGUGUACUCCUUCGGGAUACGCCGUUCGUCAAAUGUUUGAUGACUCCGGAUAACUUAGCCGAGCGCUACGGUCUUCAGUACCGGCGCCGUAUCUUUCAAGUGUCUGCCUUAUCAGCUUUCGAUUGUAGGUUAAACGCCUACAAUGGCUGUAACGGGUAACGGGGAAUCAGGGUUCGAUUCCGGAGAGGGAGCCUGAGAAACGGCUACCACAUCUAAGGAAGGCAGCAGGCACGCAAAUUACCCACUCCCAGCCCGGGGAGGUAGUGACGAAAAAUAACGAUGCGAGACUCUUCCGAGGCCUCGCAAUCGGAAUGAGUCCAAUUUAAAAACCUUGGACGAGGAUCCAUUGGAGGGCAAGUCUGGUGCCAGCAGCCGCGGUAAUUCCAGCUCCAAUAGCGUAUAUUAAAGUUGCUGCGGUUAAAAAGCUCGUAGUUGGACUUUCUAGAUCCAUUUCGUGGGUGAGUCGCUCUUUGUACUGGCUUCUCGCGCGGUUCCUUGAUGAAGUCGCCGAGUGUUUUUCUUUUUCGACUCCGUCGUUGAAGAGGGCGCCGGCGUUACGGAAUCAUGUGGGCGGUGAGGGGCUGUCUUAGAGUAUAGCUCGUCCGCGUUUGGUACAAUUAAAAUUUUGUCGGCUCGCUCGGAGUGCUCUUUACCGAGUGUUCCAGGGUGGCUGACACGUUCACUUUGAAAAAAUUAGAGUGCUUAAAGCGGGCUUAUUUACGGCCUGAAUGUCUGUGCAUGGAAUGAAGUAACAGGACCUCGAUUCUGUUGUUUUUGUCGGUUUUAAUGAACCGAGGUAAUGAUUAAAAGGGACAGACGGUGGCAUUAGUAUUGCGGCGCUAGAGGUGAAAUUCUUGGACCGUCGCAAGACUAACUACUGCGAAAGCAUUUGCCGAGAAUGUUUUCAUUAAUCAAGAACGAAAGUUAGAGGAUCGAAGGCGAUCAGAUACCGCCCUAGUUCUAACCCUAAACUAUGCUAACUAGCGAUCCGCCGGAGUCAUUCCCACGACCCGGCGGGAAGCCCCAGGGAAACCAAAGUCUUUGAGUUCCGGGGGAAGUAUGGUUGCAAAGCUGAAACUUAAAGGAAUUGACGGAAGGGCACCACCAGGAGUGGAGCCUGCGGCUUAAUUUGACUCAACACGGGAAACCUCACCAGGCCCGGACAUCAUAAGGAUUGACAGGUUGAGAGCUCUUUCUCGAUUUGAUGGGUGGUGGUGCAUGGCCGUUCUUAGUUGGUGGAGUGAUCUGUCUGGUUGAUUCCGAUAACGAACGAGACUCUACCCUACUAACUAGUCGGCGGAUCGUAACCCUGAGAUGGUUAGUUUGUAUAGGAGAGAUUUGCCUAAACGGAGUCCGAUCGAUAGGUUAAACGUGCGAGCGCGCUCGGUAGCUAUUCACGUAGCGAAAAGUGUGCGCGGACGCGCCUAGAGAACCCGGAUCCUCGUUGAAGCGGCUUUCUGAUUACUACUACUACUGCUGGGGGCGUCCGUCGCAAUGUAUCUUCUUAGAGGGAUCAGCGGCGUAUAGCCGCACGAGAAAGAGCAAUAACAGGUCUGUGAUGCCCUUAGAUGUUCUGGGCCGCACGCGCGCUACAAUGUAGGGCUCAGCGUGCUUUCCCUCUCCGAAAGGAGCGGGUAACCCGUUGAAACCCCUACCCGAUUGGGAUUGGGGAUUGCAAUUAUUUCCCAUAAACGAGGAAUUCCCAGUAAGCGCGAAUCAUUAAUUCGCGCUGAUUACGUCCCUGCCCUUUGUACACACCGCCCGUCGCUACUACCGAUUGAAUGAUUCAGUGAGGGCAUCGGACUGGCCCUUCGGUUUAGUUACCUAGACCUUAGGCUGACGGAAAGAUGUCCGAACUUGAUC
rnacentral:rRNA from 1 species